rnacentral:rRNA from 1 species
CUUGGUCAUUUAGAGGAAGUAAAAGUCGUAACAAGGUCUCCGUAGGUGAACCUGCGGAGGGAUCAUUACCGAGUUCAUGCCCGCACGGGUAGAUCUCCCAACCCUAUGUUAUCAUUACCUUCGUUGCUUUGGCGGGCCGUCAGGCUUCGGCUAGGCUACCGGCUCCGGCUGGUAAGCGCCCGCCAGAGGACCCUCAACUCUGAAUAUUAGUGUCGUCUGAGUACUAUCUAAUAGUUAAAACUUUCAACAACGGAUCUCUUGGUUCUGGCAUCGAUGAAGAACGCAGCGAAAUGCGAUAAGUAAUGUGAAUUGCAGAAUUCAGUGAAUCAUCGAAUCUUUGAACGCACAUUGCGCCCCUUGGUAUUCCGAGGGGCAUGCCUGUUCGAGCGUCAUUACAACCCUCAAGCACUGCUUGGUAUUGGGCCCCGCUGCUAACGCUGCGGGCCUUAAAAUCAGUGGCGGCGCCGCUGGGCUCUGAGCGUAGUAAAUUUCCUCGCUACGGAGUCCUGGCGGCGGUGGUCAUUAACCCCCCAACUUUCUUAAGUUUGACCUCGGAUCAGGUAGGGAUACCCGCUGAACUUAAGCAUAUCAAUAAGCGGAGGAUCCUCCGCUUAUUGAUAUGCCCAAGUCUAAGGUGUCAUAGCAUAAGCCCAUUACUAAUUGCUGAUGUAGCAUUUACCAAGGAUUAAAUCACUAUUUUUCCUUGCACAUAUAGUGAUGUGGGCAUCGUCUUAUAAUUACGGAUUCAUACCUCCUAUCUACCUUACUUCCUCUAAAUGACCAAG